UUAUUGGAGAGUUUGAUCCUGGCUCAGGACGAACGCUGGCGGCGUGCCUAAUACAUGCAAGUCGAGCGAGUCCCUUCGGGGGCUAGCGGCGGACGGGUGAGUAACACGUAGGCAACCUGCCCGUAAGCUCGGGAUAACAUGGGGAAACUCAUGCUAAUACCGGAUAGAGUCUUCUCUCGCAUGAGAGGAGACGGAAAGGUGGCGCAAGCUACCACUUACGGAUGGGCCUGCGGCGCAUUAGCUAGUUGGUGGGGUAACGGCCUACCAAGGCGACGAUGCGUAGCCGACCUGAGAGGGUGACCGGCCACACUGGGACUGAGACACGGCCCAGACUCCUACGGGAGGCAGCAGUAGGGAAUUUUCCGACAAUGGACGAAAGUCUGAUGGAGCAACGCCGCGUGAACGAU
rnacentral:ncRNA from 1 species